CUUUCUGUAUGCACACAAUUCCUUAGGAUGAACAAGCAGCCAUAUGUUAUCAUAAUUUCAGAAUUUGUUAUUUGAGGAGAUAGAAGCCAUAUUUGCUCCCAGGUGAUGAAUAAUUAAUAAGAAAUCACACAGGUGUUCUCAGAACAGAGGAUCCUUUCAGUUCAGCUGGUAGGAGUCUGUACUCUGUUCGGAGACGUGAUAAAAAUGUUUGUAAAGAUACUUGUUUUAUAGGAUUGUUUUUUAGAGAACUUCCUUUCUUGUGUGCAAGGAAGAUUAAUCAGGUAUAGCUUAGGAAUGCCUUUAGCAUGCUGUACAACGAGGGAAAGAUCAACUAGCCUAACAAAGAAAGCAUUUUGUUUUUAAUGUGACUGUCUUGGUCUGUCAACUAAUAAGGAGAAAAAAAGUAAGCUGUGAUCAACUUUGAAAUAGCUCAACUUUCAUCUUGCUUUAGUCUUCAAAUUGCUAUGGAUUCAGUGCCUUUCUUUGAAAGGUGAAAACUACUCAUCUGGAUCACAAGACGACUUGGGUUUUUGGAACUGGGAUAAUCUUGUGCAGCUGAAGAUGUUUGUGAGGCAAUUUGCUUCAAAAGAUCUGGCUAGAAGUAUGGUCACUGUGUGUCAGGAGCAAAAUAGGGUCACAGCUGGAACCACUGAUGGAGCACCUGGUGAAGGGGCGUAGCCAGCUCUGGGACACAGGUGGAAGCAAUCCCUCCUAAUCUCAUACAAUGGCUGGCAGCUGCAAAGGAAAAAAUCUCUACUUCGAGAUCGUCUCAUUUGGAGUGUUUGGUGGAUCUUGAUCCUUGGAAUGGGGAAGUUGGGAGGGGGCAUAGCCGCUGCAGCUGACCCAGACUGAC
ensembl:lncRNA